rnacentral:rRNA from 1 species
AUACGGAGGGUGCAAGCGUUAAUCGGAAUUACUGGGCGUAAAGCGUACGUAGGCGGUUCGUUAAGUUAGAUGUGAAAGCCCCGGGCUUAACCUGGGAACUGCAUUUAAAACUGGCGGACUAGAGUUGAGUAGAGGGGAGUGGAAUUUCAGGUGUAGCGGUGAAAUGCGUAGAGAUCUGAAGGAACACCAGUGGCGAAGGCGACUCCCUGGACUCGAACUGACGCUGAGGUACGAAAGCGUGGGUAGCAAACGGGAUUAGAUACCCCAGUAGUCC